UGUGAACAUACCUAUUUGUUGCCUCGGCGGUGCCUGUUCCGACAGCCCGCCAGAGGACCCCAAACCCUGAUUACAUUUAAGAAGUCUUCUGAGUAAACCGAUUAAAUAAAUCAAAACUUUCAACAACGGAUCUCUUGGUUCUGGCAUCGAUGAAGAACGCAGCGAAAUGCGAUAAGUAAUGUGAAUUGCAGAAUUCAGUGAAUCAUCGAAUCUUUGAACGCACAUUGCGCCCGCUAGUAUUCUGGCGGGCAUGCCUGUCCGAGCGUCAUUUCAACCCUCAAGCCCCCGGGCUUGGUGUUGGGGAUCGGCGAGCCUCCGCGCCCGCCGUCCCCUAAAUCUAGUGGCGGUCUCGCUGUAGCUUCCUCUGCGUAGUAGCACACCUCGCACUGGGAAACAGCGCGGCCACGCCGUUAAACCCCCAACUUCUGAACGUUUGACCUCGGAUCAGGUAGGAAUACCCGCUGAACUUAAGCAUAUCAAUAAGCGGAGGA
rnacentral:rRNA from 1 species